GCAUGUCGAGCUUGCUCACAGACUUAUCAUAUCCAUAACACCUGUGCACUUGUCGGAUGGCUUAGUGAAGACCGCAAGGUUGGAACUAUCCAUCUACUUUACAUAACAAUUUAGUAACAAAUGUAGUCUUAUUAUAACAUAAUAAAACUUUCAACAACGGAUCUCUUGGCUCUCGCAUCGAUGAAGAACGCAGCGAAAUGCGAUAAGUAAUGUGAAUUGCAGAAUUCAGUGAAUCAUCGAAUCUUUGAACGCACCUUGCGCUCCCUGGUAUUCCGGGGAGCAUGCCUGUUUGAGUGUCAUGAAAACCCUCAACCUUAGAUUGGUUAACACCUUUCUUUGGCUUGGAUUUGGACGUUUGCCGAUGAUAAGUCGGCUCGUCUUAAAAGUAAUAGCUGGAUCUGUCUCGCGACAUGGUUUGACUUGGCGUAAUAAGUAUUUCGCUAAGGACAUCUUCGGAUGGCCGCGUUGCAAGACUAAAGACCGCUUUCUAAUCCAUUGAUCUUCGGAUUAAUAUUCUUGACAUCUGGCCUCAAAUCAGGUAGGACUACCCGCUGAACUUAAGCAUAUCAAUAAGCGGAGGA
rnacentral:rRNA from 1 species